rnacentral:rRNA from 1 species
ACCGAAUAGAUACCCCGGUAGUCCACGCCCUAAACGAUGCGAACUGGAUGUUGGGUACAUUACGGUACUCAGUGUCGAAAGCUAAACGCGUUAAGUUCGCCGCCUGGGGAGUACGGUCGCAAGACUGAAACUCAAAGGAAUUGACGGGGGUCCCGCACAAGCGGUGGAGUAUGUGGUUUAAUUCGAUGCAACGCGAAGAACCUUACCUGGCCUUGACAUCUGUCGAAUCCUGCAGAGAUGCGGGAGUGCCGCAAGGAACGACAAGACAGGUGCUGCAUGGCUGUCGUCAGCUCGUGUCGUGAGAUGUUGGGUU